GAAAGAGAAGCAUCUUUGGUGCCAGGUCUCAUUAGCAUUCGCUUUAUCUGGGGCGGAAGCAACAGGACGCAGAAAACCUGUUAGAUUCAGCGGCAGUUGCAUUUUUUGAGAAGCAGGACAGUUCAGAUAACUCAAGAUGGUGGCAGGAUGCGGUGCCAACUGCAUGAAGUAUACGCUCUUCAUCUUCAACAUCCUCUUCUUCUUGGCAGGGGUGGUGCUUGCGGCUGUCGGCGGGUACUUGAUGUUCACAGCUGAUGCCUUGGCAGCAAGCCUGGACCAGAACGAUUUGUCAGAAACGGCCCG